AUCCAGAUGACGAGUCCCAAACAGGACGAAACGUGCAUCCUGGAU
rnacentral:hammerhead_ribozyme from 1 species